AGAGCUCAUAAAUACGACGUUGUU
rnacentral:siRNA from 1 species